rnacentral:rRNA from 1 species
UAGGGAAUAUUGCACAAUGGAGGAAACUCUGAUGCAGCGACGCCGCGUGAGUGAUGAAGGCCUUCGGGUUGUAAAGCUCUGUUCUCAGGGAAAAAGAAAGUGAUGGUACCUGAGAAGAAAGGACCGGCUAACUUCGUGCCAGCAGCCGCGGUAAGACGAGGGGUCCUAGCGUUGUUCGGAAUCAUUGGGCGUAAAGCGGGUGUAGGCGGCCUUAUAAGUCAGAAGUGAAAGCCCCGAGCUUAACUCGGGAAGUGCUUUUGAUACUGCAAGGCUUGAAUGUGGGAGAGGAUGGUGGAAUUCCUGGUGUAGUGGUGAAAUACGUAGAUAUCAGGAGGAACAUCGGUGGCGAAGGCGGCCAUCUGGCCCAACAUUGACGCUCAGACCCGAAAGCGUGGGGAUCAAACAG